rnacentral:lncRNA from 1 species
CUUAAGGGAGAUGCAAAGUGACCCUCACGCUCCCAGUACCUUCCAUGUCCUGAUGACAUUCCUUCAGAGCAUGAGCCAAAGUGAACCCUUACUUCCUUGAGCUGCUAAGUAUUACAUCACGGCAAAGAGAAAUAUAACUCACAGAACUCCAUGCUCGCUAGACACGGUGGUGGGAAGAUACUUGUCAUUGGACUUAAUGCCACCUAGCAAACCAAGAUGAUUUUGACCGGGAAGACUUAAUUGCAUCUCUGAAGACCACUUCCACUCCUACUAAGGUUACUUAAUAAGUGCUGAGUCUCGCACAGAAAUUCAACCUGCAUUCAACCCACCAUAGGGGACGCAAGACAGGAUUUCUCCAUAUAGCUCUGGAUGUCCUGGAACUCACUCUGUAAACUAAGCUGGCCUCAAACUCACAGUGUCUAUGAGUGCUGAGAUUCAAGGCAUGCACCACCACUGCCUGGAAGUAUUCGUCAGCUUGACACUGUGAAGAGGAAUCUCAAUUGAGAAUGCCUGCAUCCCAUCCACCUGUGGUGCAUUUUCUUGAUGGAUGAUUGAUGUGGGCGGGUCCAGCUCCCUGUGGGUGGCGUCACUCCCUGGCAGGUGGUGCUGGGCUGGAAAAGAAAGCAGAAGGAGCAAGCCAGUCAGCAGCUCUGUGACCUCGAUGCCAGCCCCUGCCUCUAGCUUCCCGCCUUGAGUUCAUACCCUGGCUUUCCUCAGUUACUGACAGUAAAGUGCUGAGAAUUCUGUAUCACCUCCAGCUUUCUGUCCAAUGGCAUGGAGUAUUCAGGUGGAGGAGCAGGGUUGCCUGAAUAUGACGAUCUCCCACCCAGGAGCAGAAAACUCUGACUACCCUGCUGGCUGCUGGCUGCUGCCUCCUGGGGAUGCUCCCAGCCACUACGCUGGGGACUUAUCCAGCUCUUUUCCUCCAGCAAAACUCCGUCGGGAGGGAGGCAAAAGAAAAAU